GGGGUUGUGGCACAGUGGUAGAGCGUGCGCCCAGCAUGUGCAAGGCGCUGGGUUCGAUCCUCAGCACCACA
rnacentral:tRNA from 1 species